AAUGUCGUAACAAGGUUUCCGUAGGUGAACCUGCGGAAGGAUCAUUAGUGAAUUUUAGAGCGUAACUUCAGUUAGCUCAACCUUCAUUUUCCAACUCUGUGCACUAUUGGCGGACUGAGAGUAAGCAAUUGCUAUUCAGUCUGCGGCUCACUAUUAAAGCAUUAGUUAAAGGUAUGAUAACUAAAAAAUCAAAUCAAAAAAGG
rnacentral:misc_RNA from 1 species